rnacentral:rRNA from 1 species
UGGGGGAUAUUGCACAAUGGGCGAAAGCCUGAUGCAGCGACGCCGCGUGGGGGAUGAAGGCCUUCGGGUUGUAAACUUCUUUUGCUCUGAACAAGGCGCACCAUGGGGUGUGUUGAGUGUAGGGGUUGAUUAGCGCCGGCUAACUACGUGCCAGCAGCCGCGGUAAUACGUAGGGCGCGAGCGUUGUCCGGAAUUAUUGGGCGUAAAGGGCUUGUAGGUGGCUGGUUGCGUCUGUCGUGAAAGCUCAUGGCUUAACUGUGGGUUUGCGGUGGGUACGGGCUGGCUUGAGUGCAGUAGGGGAGGCUGGAAUUCCUGGUGUAGCGGUGGAAUGCGCACAUAUCAGGAGGAAUACCGGUGGCGAAGGCGGGUCUCUGGGCUGUUACUGACACUGAGGAGCGAAAGCAUGGGGAGCGAACAGG